GGGAAGCCGGUCGAAGUCCGGCGCUGACCCGCAACCGUAGGCCCGGCAUAGCGCCGGGCGAGCCGGAAUGCC
rnacentral:ncRNA from 1 species